rnacentral:rRNA from 1 species
CACGUAGGGGGCAAGCGUUGUCCGGAAUUAUUGGGCGUAAAGCGCGUGUAGGCGGCUUUGCAAGUCGGGUGUGAAAGCCCUCAGCUCAACUGAGGAAGUGCGCCCGAAACUGCAGAGCUUGAGUGCCGGAGAGGGUGGCGGAAUUCCCCAAGUAGAGGUGAAAUUCGUAGAUAUGGGGAGGAACACCGGUGGCGAAGGCGGCCACCUGGACGGUAACUGACGCUGAGACGCGAAAGCGUGGGGAGCAAACAGG